rnacentral:rRNA from 1 species
CAGCCGCCGCGGUAAUACAGAGGGUGCGAGCGUUAAUCGGAUUUACUGGGCGUAAAGCGUGCGUAGGCGGCUUUUUAAGUCGGAUGUGAAAUCCCUGAGCUUAACUUAGGAAUUGCAUUCGAUACUGGGAAGCUAGAGUAUGGGAGAGGAUGGUAGAAUUCCAGGUGUAGCGGUGAAAUGCGUAGAGAUCUGGAGGAAUACCGAUGGCGAAGGCAGCCAUCUGGCCUAAUACUGACGCUGAGGUACGAAAGCAUGGGGAGCAAACAGGAUUAGAUACCCCGGUAGUCCCUGUCUCUUAUAA